rnacentral:rRNA from 1 species
AGUGAACGCUGGCGGUAGGCCUAACACAUGCAAGUCGAACGGCAGCACAGUAAGAGCUUGCUCUUACGGGUGGCGAGUGGCGGACGGGUGAGGAAUACAUCGGAAUCUACUUUUUCGUGGGGGAUAACGUAGGGAAACUUACGCUAAUACCGCAUACGACCUACGGGUGAAAGCAGGGGAUCUUCGGACCUUGCGCGAUUGAAUGAGCCGGUGUCGGAUUAGCUAGUUGGCGGGGUAAAGGCCCACCAAGGCGACGAUCCGUAGCUGGUCUGAGAGGAUGAUCAGCCACACUGGAACUGAGACACGGUCCAGACUCCUACGGGAGGCAGCAGUGGGGAAUAUUCGACAAUGGGCGAAAGCCUGAUCCAGCCAUACCGCGUGGGUGAAGAAGGCCUUCGGAUCGUAAAGCCCUUUUGUUGGGAAAGAAAAGCAGCAGGUUAAUACGCCGAUGUUCUGACGGUACCCAAAGAGUAAGCACCGGCUAACUUCGUG